AAAUUUGAAAUCUGGUCCCCCCCGCGGGGGCCCGAGUUGUAAUUUGCAGAGGAUGCUUCUGGCGCGGCGCCUUCCGAGUGCCCUGGAACGGGACGCCACAGAGGGUGAGAGCCCCGUCUGGUUGGACGCCUAGCCUGUGUGAAGCUCCUUCGACGAGUCGAGUAGUUUGGGAAUGCUGCUCAAAACGGGAGGUAUAUGUCUUCUAAAGCUAAAUACCGGCCAGAGACCGAUAGCGCACAAGUAGAGUGAUCGAAAGAUGAAAAGCACUUUGAAAAGAGGGUUAAACAGUACGUGAAAUUGUUGAAAGGGAAGCGCUUGCGACCAGACGUGGGCGCGGUGGAUCAUCCGGCGUUCUCGCCGGUGCACUCCGCCGCGCCCAGGCCAGCAUCAGUUCGCCCCGGGGGACAAAGGCGGCGGGAACGUGGCUCCCCCGGGAGUGUUAUAGCCCGCCGCGCAAUGCCCUGGGGCGGACUGAGGUACGCGCUCCGCAAGGAUGCUGGCGUAAUGGUCAUCAGCGACCCGUCUUGAAACACGGACCAAGGAGUCGUCUUCGUAUGCGAGUGUUCGGGUGUCAAACCCUUGCGCGUAAUGAAAGUGAACGCAGGUGAGAGCUUCGGCGCAUCAUCGACCGAUCCUGAUGUUCUCGGAUGGAUUUGAGUAAGAGCAUACGGGGCCGGACCCGAAAGAAGGUGAACUAUGCCUGUGUAGGGUGAAGCCAGAGGAAACUCUGGUGGAGGCUCGCAGCGGUUCUGACGUGCAAAUCGAUCGUCA
rnacentral:rRNA from 1 species